CUAAACAUAACCCAUUAUUUGAUAAAGCCCAUACUACUUCCUCGAUCUUAUCACUCACCUUCUCCAUCCUCCUCCACCUCUUCCACUACUCAUCACCAUUUCAAAUCCGCCACCAGACCAAUCACUACGGCCACUGCCAUCUAAAGAAUCUACUACUCCGUCACGGAUCUGAUACGCUUUGUCAAUGGCUAUACGAAAACUACCUCUCCUCUGAUCCACAGAUUCGUCUUGUGGUCCUCUCGCAUGUGUACGAUAUUAUGAGGUCUCGAGUUCUUUUAUCUCGAAAAAGAUUAAGGAUGAAGUUAAAAGUGUGAAGAAUUGUUGGUGUGAAUCACAAUAUGAAGCAAAGAACAACAGCAUAUGCAAGCUCAUGCCAUUUUAUUCAAAAUAGAGGAUUCCGCCGAUUUUGCAAAGAUUGUUUCCCAUUCAAAAGCAAUCAUUUUUCUUGGUUUGGAGAAGAGAUUGUUUUCAAAGUUUGAGGCUUAGGAAGAAGAGAGUGUUUGGAUACACCUAUAAUACAUCUAGGAUCCGAAUGAGAUUGUGUCUAAACUGAAAGGAUCCGCGUCUUUUAACACUUUUAAUUACCUUGUUGCCCUUAAUUUUUUUUUUCUCUUCUUCCUGUUUUUUGGCGUAGGGGCAAUGUAUGGCAUUUUUGUAAAAGUUUUUUUUUUUUUUUUUCUGUUUUUGUACUCCCCAAUUAAUAGUAUAGUUAUUAACAUUUUUAAAUUACAUUUGGCAAUCUACCAUUUUACAUA